rnacentral:lncRNA from 1 species
GGGGUCUGCGCAAAAGGAGGGAGGGGAGGGUGGGGAACAUGCAAGGGACACAGGAACACGAUGACAUGGCCAGGGCCAUAGCUUCUGUUAUGGGAAAGAGGAAGAAAGACCAGGGCUGGAGCUGGGGUGGAAGAGGGAAGGGGGAGACACUGUGGCUGCAUUCCCCCACCCCCAGGAAGCACCUCUUGUCCCUGGCUCCCCUCCUUUGCCCUGGCCCCCUAAGAUUCCAUCUCUCUUGUUCUGCCUCUGGCUCCAGUGGCUCCUUCUGAUGCUCCCCUUGGCUUCUCCCUGGACAGACACUCCAGUAGGAUGCUUGGGGUUUAACCACCCAACCUUACUCAAGUAUCCCUCUGCCUUCCCCGCUUCUGCCCCUCCUCAAUACCACCUUUUCUCUCCUCUGGGACAGAAUCUUCUUUCCCCUCCUCUCUCCUCCCUACCCCUGGGAAAAAACAACAACAAAAAAGAAAGCACCAACUCCCCAGGAAGGGGCAGCAGACAGUAGGGGAGGGGACAGAAGGAGGAGAGCACAGGACCUUCUAGGAAAGGCUCACAAAUCCCUGGGAGGCAAGGCAAGGGGUUAAAGGUGAGGGCAGUGGCUGCUGCUGUCCUCUGCCACCCCUGCUCAUUGUCCAGGGGACUUCAACACAACUCAGGGGACAGGUGUUUGUAGGGUCAGCUCUGAUAGGGAGAAGAAAGGAGCAGGAGAAACAUUGUUAAAACCUAGUGAAUUCCUUCUUCCUCCUCUCUGUCUGGAGGCUCCUUGGUUGAUGAAGAGUCGUGAGGAGUUGGUGGGAAGAGGAGACUGUACCAAGAAGAGCUUUCCUCCACUCUCCCCUCUCCCCCAUCAACUUGGAGCUCACCAAGGCUGGGAGGGAAGUGGCUGAGAGCUCACUGGUACCCCCUCUGCCCCAGAGAGGGAGCCCACAGCUGUGGCUGGGGGGCAUCUCCCGGGAUAGGAGGGGCGGCCCCCCCCAGAUGGGUCUGCAUGUGGCCGGCCAGCUGGGCAGGGGUCUUGCAGUGCACGCUGCACAGCUUACACAGGAUGCGGUCAGCCCGCGGGGCCUGGAGCCCAUGGUCCUUCACCGCGUGGAUGCGCAGGUAUGCUGCUGUGGUGAAGCCUAUUGGGGGGGGGGGUUGGGAUGGGGGGUUGGGGUCAGCCUGGUGGAGACCCCAGAGACAGGGCUGUUCUCCUAGGCUGGGGACACCCUCCUCACAUGGCACUGUCCUCCUCCCACAUCCUUGGUAGGCUGGGGCCAACUACUCCAGAGAAGCAUAGCCUUUCCCUACGCUUGCUGGGGACUGGUUUGUGUGGUGCCCUUACUUAGUCCUUAAUCUCUACAGAGACCGUCCACGACACGGCUACCUAGCUUUUUAAAGGCUUGACUCUCAGUGGAGACGGCUGUGUCCCCCCCCUCUCCAGUGCCCCCGUCUCAGCUCCUUUAGUCACCAACCACAGUGAAACAGCUUUCUGCUACUGGGUAGGGUGCAUGCUCGUCACACCCCUGCUGAUGUACUCCACCUGCCCCAGGAGCUGGAGACAAGAGCUUGUGGCUGCUAAGUUGAAACCCUUGGGACUGGCUUUUUGGCUAUUCCUUUCUCAAAGUAACCACGUCCCACUUCAUUCUCCCAAGCACACCCAUGAGGUUGAAUUUCUGGUAGACGGUCUCCUGUGAACCAUGGCACAUAAUUUAGUGGUGGUGUUUCCAAUGCUGUUGUACUUGCCCCUUAAAGAGUUCUCUCUACUCGCCACAAGCUCUUAGCUGCAGCACCCUUGACCCACAUCGGUGAAAAAAAACCCAACAGCUCUGUGCCCCCCUUUUUAGUCCCUGCCCUCCUGGCACCCCUUAGCAUGUACCUUUGUUGCAGAGCUCACAGACAUGGUGAGGGCCCUGGCUGUGCACCUUCAUGUGGUCGGAAAUAUAAGCCGAGCUCAGCAUCUUGCCACAGACAUGACAUGGCACCUUCUCCUCGUGUCGGACUGUGUGCGCUCGGAGGCGAUCCUUCGUAGCAAAAGCUGCCUCACAUUUCUGGGGGAGGGUGUGGGGUCACAGGAGAGUUAAAGCUUCGGGGAGUAGAGAGAAGGGAGCAAGAUAAGGGGAUCAGAGUCUCGGGGGUCUUUGAUCUGUAGGAAAUGGGCGUGAGAUGACCAGGCCUUGAAGGAGAAAUGUGAAAAUGGAGUGAAGAGGCAAAAAGAGAGAGAAAAAGGGGGUCUGAGAGGCUGAACCCACACAGCUACAAUGAGGAUCAAAAUCAUGAAAACCAGGACAGGAGGAAGCUGGCUUCCUACCUCACAUUUGAAGGGCCGCUCUGUUGAGUGCACUUGUCUGACGUGACUGUUGAGGUGAUCCGGCCUAGGGAUAUGUUGAGGUGGGAGGGGGUGUGUGUUAGGGCUUAGGCUCCAAGGUAAGGUGUGCCUCAAAUCUACCUAGGUUCCUCCAAAAUGCCUCUGCAAAGGUCCCAGCGUUUCCCCCUCAGCUUCAGUCCUCAGGCAGGAAAGCCCUCAAACCAAGAUUCCUCUUCUGCCCAGAGGCUGCUUUCCUUCAGCCCAGAGACCCACCUCUUCUAAAGUACCACCCCCUGUUCCUAGCAACUUCCCUCCUCCCUGGGAGUGGUUCCUGUCCCCAGGAACGGGAGCCGCCUCCCCACCAGCCAAAGACAGGCCACCUUGUUGCCCUCCCCCCCACCGGCCUAGUGGGCAGCGAGGCCCCUGCACACCGGGAGAAGCUCUUGCCACAGUGGGAGCAGUUGUAGGGCUUGUGCACAGCGCCGUCAUGUGAGCGCACGUGGUAACUCAUGCGGUCCUUGCGCUUGAAGCGCUGCUGGCACACAGGGCACUGGUAGGGCUUCUCGUCCGAAUGCGACAGCUUAUGUCGGUUCAGGUGGUAGACGUCGCGGAAGGCCUUGCCGCACAUCUCGCAGGCGUGAUUCUUCCGGAUGCGCUUCCCAGAGGCAGUCGUGGUCACAACGCCACCGGCCGCCACCGCGGCUGUGCCGCCGCCAGCCCCGGCUUCUCCCCCACCCCCGCUGGCCCCGCUCAGCUGGGGGACACUCAAGAGGCUCAGGGGCACCAUGGUGGGCAUCUUCAUAGCACCCGAAGGGACCCGGCCAGCCUUGGCUCCCGUGUGGAUGGCUUCGUGCCUUCGGAGGUUGUAGCCGUUCUUGAACUCCUUGGCGCACAGGGCGCAAAUGUAGGGCCCCUUGCUCUUUGUCUUCUUCUCCAAGACAGAUGCAACUGGGGCCACGGCGACCGUCGA